GUUUGUUUUAAGGUAUGUUUUAACUUAGUACAAAAGAAGAUCAUCUGAGGAGUAAGGUGCCUGAUGGGGAAGAAGAGAUGCUUGUGUCCAGUUUCCAUGAUCCUGCUGACACUGGAGAUACCUGCUGUACAGGCUUUUUUACCUCACCUUGUUUGGUAUGUCCAAGCUCCCCAUUCCAUGACAGAGCCAAGCAGCUUCAGCCAGGCAUGAGGACCUUCGUACAUGAAAAGCAGUGAAGAGCCAUAUCCCUAAAGCAUGCAACUCUUGUAUAUGACAAAAGAUAAUGGGUGGAUACCAAGAAUUGAAGGUAACAGAAAGAAAGAGAGGACAUAUUUCCACAGCUUGGCAAAAGCAGUCUCCAAAGUCCUCAAACAGCUGUGGAAAAAUAGUGAAAGGAGAGCAAAUAGCCUGUUUGUCCUCUAUCUCAUGGACACAGUGCCUUGUGAGCCCUGGAGGGUAUCUGCUCAUAUCCAAGCUGUGAAAGCAGUUGCUGUGCCUGCCACAUCACAGCUUCAUAGACACACCAAUGCUUGCAGUACAGUCAAAAUAUGCUUUAAAGCCCAUUUCAG
rnacentral:lncRNA from 1 species